AUUAUGUUAAUUAAUAUUUAUUACAUAUAUAUUAUACUAUUUAUUAUUUUAUUAUCCCCAUUUUAGAGAUGAGGCAAUGGAGGCAGAUGGCCAUUAAGCGGAUUACCUAAGGCUACACAUCUAGUUCUGUGAUUCUAUGAACAGUGAGUUUUUUAAAGUCUACUUCUUAGAAAGUCAUUGCAUACCACUGUUGAAAGCAUCUGGACAUCAUCAAAUGAAGAGGGACAGAGCUUAAUCAUCAAUUUUUUAGCAUUUCGCAGAAGACUAUACACAACAGGCAUUUUAUAAGUAUUUAUUGAAUGGAUGAUAGUUUGUGUUGGUUGAUCUGAUGCUGAUAGUGGCAAGAGAUGCAGAAAUUGGGCUUCUUCUCCCUUCUAUUGAUUCAAAUAAAAUAACAUUAAAAAGCUUGC
rnacentral:lncRNA from 1 species